UCCAAUCCAAAGCUUCCGCGUGGCUUNCGUCAGGCAUUGUCUGUCACGCUACAUCUUCAGAUUUCUCACACCACAGACUUCAUUCAUCAUCUUCUCAUUCGAAGAAGCCUCUCCGCUAGGGUUUCUCACAACUUCAACACAGAGUNCCAUCUCCANCCAAUGAAUCACGAUCUUUCAACCGGUAAAACUGUUUCUCUUGCCUAGAUCUACCUUAUCCUCACCAUUUCCGUCCCAACCAUCGGUUGAUCUCCGGUUUCC
rnacentral:lncRNA from 1 species